rnacentral:rRNA from 1 species
CCUACGGGAGGCAGCAGUGGGGAAUAUUGCACAAUGGGGGAAACCCUGAUGCAGCGACGCCGCGUGAGUGAAGAAGGAAUUCGUUAUGUAAAGCUCUAUCAGCAGGGAAGAAAAUGACGGUACUUGAGUAAGAAGCUCCGGCUAACUACGUGCCAGCAGCCGCGGUAAUACGUAGGGGGCAAGCGUUAUCCGGAUUUACUGGGGGUAAAGGGAGCGUAGACGGCUGUGCAAGUCUGGUGUGAAAGGCGGGGGCUCAACCCCCGGACGGCUCUGGAAACUGUACGGCUGGAGUGCAGGAGAGGUAAGUGGAAUUCCUGGUGUAGCGGUGAAAUGCGUAGAUAUUAGGAGGAACACCAGUGGCGAAGGCGGCUUACUGGACUGUAACUGACGUUGAGGCUCGAAGGCGUGGGGAGCAAACGGGAUUAGAUACCCGAGUAGUC